GGGCCCGCACAAGCGGCGGAGCAUGCGGAUUAAUUCGAUGCAACGCGAAGAACCUUACCAGGGUUUGACAUCCUGCGAAUCUCUUGGAAACGAGAGAGUGCCUUCGGGAACGCAGUGACAGGUGGUGCAUGGCUGUCGUCAGCUCGUGUCGUGAGAUGUUGGGUUAAGUCCCGCAACGAGCGCAACCCACGUCGUUAGUUGCCAGCAUUUAGUUGGGCACUCUAGCGAGACCGCCGGUGAUAAACCGGAGGAAGGUGUGGAUGACGUCAAGUCAUCAUGCCCCUUACAUCCUGGGCUACACACGUACUACAAUGCUACGGACAAAGGGCAGCAAACUCGCGAGAGCUAGCA
rnacentral:rRNA from 1 species